GACGUAGGAGGCGAGCGUUAUCCGGAUUCACUGGGCGUAAAGCGCAUGUAGGCGGUUGUGUAAGUCCGAUGUUAAAGCCCCUGGCUCAACUGGGGGAGGUCAUUGGAGACUGCUCGACUUGAGGGCAACAGAGGCACGUGGAACUCCCGGUGUAGCGGUGGAAUGCGUAGAGAUCGGAAAGAACACCAACGGCGAAAGCACUCUGCUGGGCCGACACUGACACUGAGAGACGAAAGCUAGGGGAGCGAAUGGG
rnacentral:rRNA from 1 species